rnacentral:rRNA from 1 species
GCGGCUACCCAUGCAAGUCGAAGCGCUUCCUUCGGGAAAGCGGCGGACGGGUUAGUAACGCGUGGGAACGUGCCCUUCUCUAAGGAAUAGCCACUGGAAACGGUGAGUAAUACCUUAUACGCCCUUCGGGGGAAAGAUUUAUCGGAGAAGGAUCGGCCCGCGUUAGAUUAGAUAGUUGGUGGGGUAACGGCCUACCAAGUCUACGAUCUAUAGCUGGUUUUAGAGGAUGAUCAGCAACACUGGGACUGAGACACGGCCCAGACUCCUACGGGAGGCAGCAGUGGGGAAUCUUGGACAAUGGGGGCAACCCUGAUCCAGCCAUGCCGCGUGAGUGAUGAAGGCCUUAGGGUCGUAAGGCUCUUUCGCCUGUGAUGAUAAUGACAGUAGCAGGUAAAGAAACCCCGGCUAACUCCGUGCCAGCAGCCGCGGUAAUACGGAGGGGGUUAGCGUUGUUCGGAAUUACUGGGCGUAAAGCGCGCGUAGGCGGAUUAGUCAGUUAGAGGUGAAAUCCCAGGGCUCAACCCUGGAACUGCCUUUAAUACUGCUAGUCUUGAGUUCGAGAGAGGUGAGUGGAAUUCCGAGUGUAGAGGUGAAAUUCGUAGAUAUUCGGAGGAACACCAGUGGCGAAGGCGGCUCACUGGCUCGAUACUGACGCUGAGGUGCGAAAGUGUGGGGAGCAAACAGGAUUAGAUACCCUGGUAGUCCACACCGUAAACGAUGAAUGCCAGUCGUCGGCAAGCAUGCUUGUC